rnacentral:rRNA from 1 species
UGUAAAAGAUUGAGCCAUGCACAUUGUAAGAGAGAAUAUGAAUAGACAAUUCUUUUUUGUAAAGAAGAGAAAGUGUACUAUGAGAUUGUGAACGGCUCAUUAAAUCAGCAAUAAUUUAAUCGGUGGAUGAAAGAGAUUUUGGAGACGGAAUAACUUGAAUUGGGAAAUCUAUAGCUAAUACGUGUAAAGAAAUGCAAUUUGUUAUCGUUUUUUUGGAUGAAUAGGUUGUAGCGCAUAUUAAAUAGAAAAUUUACAAAAGAAAAGAAGGUUUUUUUUUGAUUAAAAAAAUUCCAAGGAAAUCGUAAAAUUCCCCUUGGG